GUGUGUGUACACUCACUCUCACACAACUAUGAGUGCCUAUAGAGGCAAGAGGGAGGAAUAGAACCCCUGAAGUUACAGGCAUUCAUACUGCAAUCCACACUCCCUUCCCCACUAUAGUUAAGCCAUCUCUCCAGCCUUGGUUCCCUCAUAUUUUAUGCAAUCCAGCUGAACCAACUCUACCUACAGUAAUAAUAGUCAAAGCCUGUAAGGACAAGACAUUUUGGGGAAGCUUUUCCUGGCACCUGACACGGCAACCCCCGGGGUAGUACACAGGAAGGAAGACUAAAACGACUGAAAAGACCAAAGAGGCUGUCAGUCUGCUUAUAUGGCUAGAACAAAAGGAGCAGGGCAUAGCUGUUCCCAUUUCCAUUCCUACUGCUCCAGUGUUACAUGAAUGCAUUAUCUAGAUCCUCUAAAAUAAUAGAUCCUCCAAUAAACUUUUGUUGAGUCACCAGUGGAAAUACUCCUCCUGGGUCUAAGUAAGCACAGCUACAGAGAAAGGCAGGGCCAUCCAGUGGUCACCAAAGCUUUGCAGGGCAAAUGCUAUCUCCCAGGAGCUGGUUGCAAGUUGUCUGGUGAGCCUUUGACCUCAUCCUGUAGCAGAAGCGGCUUCCGAAGUAGCAAUGGUUUCAGUGGUCUUCAUAAGUAGUUUCAGGGCUCUUUUAAUGACACUUCAGACAGUGGUCUGCAUAGGGGAGGUAUAUAAUGGAGCAUUUUCUGUUCAAGGCAAUCAAGCACAAGGAAAUAGCCUGAGGGUUGUCCGUCAAAUGGCCAACUUAAGGUCACUUAAAAGGGAAAACAUCAGAAGGAGCUUAGAAUAAAUAUCUACCAUGGAAUUAAUAUUCACAACAGUGCUGAGUUGAUAGGAAAUCUUGUCUUGACCUGAGAUUGUGGUGUGCUGUGCAGAACAGGCUGGCGUCUCCAACGCUCACCUCCGAAGUGGCUAGAACAUCCCCACUUACGUAUGUUCCAAAGUCACUGAAGGAACAAAUAAGUAUGCUGGCUAAAACCCACAUGCCAGGUAGACAGCCUGUGUGGAUUGUUGUCUUUAUGCAGGUGAAGACAGGCACAAGAUAAGGCGAGGCCUGUGAUUGGGCAGUGAAAAAGUAAGGUGGGGCAGAGUUUUGGUAAAGAGGAGAGAGGAGAAAGAGGAGAAGAACCAGCAUAGAGGCGGAGAAGGACGAGCCAGAUCCAUGUAGCCUUAAAUGGCUACAGGUAGUUAUGAAUAUUUCAUAAGGGAUGGUUUUUAUAGGACAAUUUGUCUUAUCUAGGUGGGCAGUUUAUAUCAUUAUCAAUUGGCUGUGAGUUUAUUGUGCAGACCUUUUGUGGAAUUUGAAUCUGCUGAUAUAAAUAUGAUUGGUAAAUUGCAAGCUUAAUGAGUUUUGAUUUUAGCGGGUUCCUGCGAGUUGUGACUAUAACCAUUAGGGGACGGAUGCCGGGAUGUGAGCAGAGUCCACAGUAAGACAGCCUCAAGAUAGGUAGACUCUGUGUGGAACUGGUAUGGCGGCGACCUGCCUUGGGAACUAGAUGAUAGAGAUACAAGAGUAUGGCUGCUGACGGGCUCAGAGAGUAGCCAGUGGCAGCGUGGGAUGGAGAUUGGGAGCUUAGUGGGUUAGAUGCUUUGCUGACUGAGAUGAAAAUACCCCACAGAUGCCAUGUUGCCCUACUAUGGAGACACUAGCGUCGGCUAAUAGAUUCAUUUUAUAAUUUUAACUGCUACACCUCUGUGCUAGUUCCCUGUAAAGAAUAGUGGGUCUUUAAUUCAUCAUUAUAGAAGAAACAAAUUGAAGUAACUGCUUUGUCUUAUUUUGCUGUUGUGUAUGAAUGAGAAGAACAUGUAGUCUGGUCUGCUGUCGUGAUGCACGGUGGGAGUUGACUGGCCUAUUGCCCACAUCUCAGGAGUGUGAAAGUCAACACCAGUCAUCAGAAUCCUUUAGCACAUUUGACAUGGACCCUCCAAGCUAGCCUUUAUCUGUAAGACUGUCAGUAUGUCAAUCAUUCUACCCCCUUGAGUUGGUCUUGUCUGAUCUUGCAAAAGAAUAAAGGAUGCUGUUCAUAGGUCAAUGGCUACCCCUUCAUAUACUGUCAGUGCAUGGAAGGACUGAAUGGAGUACAGUCUUCCAGGGACCCUUCCCCGCAGAGCACACAUCCUGAGUGUAUUAACCCAGACCCCGAAACUCAAAGUGACACUGCUGUAUGGUGAACUUUCUAAAGUCAGCUAAGUAGGUGUGUGCUAAAGCCAUCACCAUUUCUGCCUUUCUGUACACCAGUGGUUUUUGUAUUUUUCCUGUACCUUUGAACGUAAGAGGUCAAGGUCACAUAGCAGUAGUGUCUGCUCUGGUAACCCCAUGGCAUGCUCUCUAAUCGUGUCACCGGCAGAGGCAGGCUCACUCCUGUACUGCCGUUUGUGCUCUGCACACAACGAGAACGAACCCUUCAGUGAUAGAUGGAGAGAAGUGUUCUCUUUGAAGCAUCGACCCACACCUUUUUUUUUAAAGGAAGAAAGCCUUUAUUUUGUGGGAUAAUGGAGGUGUCAUAACGUGAAACUUUAUCAGAUCUUUUUUGUCAGUGACUUCAAAAGCUAAACACAUCACCACAUAUGCCUCGAAGUGGAAAAUUCUUGUUUUAAAAUGCUAUCGGUGGCAGCAUGGUAUGACAAAGGGAGGCUCGUCUCUGGAAAGAAGUAAGUAGACAAUUUAUUCCCCUGCCCCCUUUUGCAGAGCCACCUGGCUCUCUGCUGUUGGCGAGUUUGUCCUUUAUCGGAUACAAUCCCCACUAUUUCUGAAACUAGGUGAGUGAUCUAAAAACUGUAAAAGUGAUAUUAAAGUGUCAGUAGGUGUUUAUUAUGUUAACUCCACAUCCAGUUCUAAGUGGUUGACUGCAUUUUGAUACAUAGCAGCAGGUCCUUUUGUUUGCAGAAAGAGUGUAGUGAGCACAGGUACUCUGAACCGGGUUUUACCCAAUGGGAUGCUGAUGACAGGGAUUGGGGGAUAGAGUCACAGAGCCACUCCAAUGACAUGAAUGAUUUCUUCAUGGAUUCUGGCUUUGGACCCGAGCUGCUAGCUAGUUACUUACUAGGUUAGGUCCCACAUAAUCUUUAAACAGGAGACAGUUUUGACUGUUUGAAUGGAGUUUCUGUGUAUUGCUUUAUUUUCAGUGAGAAUUCAGUUCAUCAGGCAUUGCCUGAACAUCGUUGUGAAUGGAGAAUGAUAACAGCAAAUACGGACAUGGCUUAGCUGUGUUAGAAGUUGUCAACUGCUUCCGUAUACCCAGUGCUAUGGGACAAUGAGUUCCAUGGGCAGAUGCACUCAGGCUUUCUUCAUCAAUAAGGGCGCGUUCUUCACACAGCUAUGGAAACUGCAGAUGCAAAAAACACAAGAGAAGAUGGGAAAGAAGAACAUAAAAUCACUCUUGCUCGCCAGCAAAUUCUGUCCUCGACUUUCUUAGCACUACUUUGAAGAUGAAAUAUUCAUCGUCUGCAUGCUUUUAGCAACAGAUUGACUCAUUCUUCAGGAAGAAAGGGUACGUUCGAGAUUAGAGAGCUUAAAAUUCGCUCCUGCUUAUUUCCGGUCGCAGAUGAGAAGCCAGAUAAUCCAGCAUUGAGAAAAUUCUAAGAGGAAUCAGGAGGAUGUGCCAUCCCCCUUGCAUCAGCAAUAGAGAAGGAUAAUGUGGACUUAGUCUGCCAUGUAAAUAACAGGACUUCUCUUGCCCACGUCUACUGUUUCAUUGACCGAUGUGUUCAGUGUUUGGUGGCUGGACCAGAGGUGAUUGUGGCCAUAGCACCAUGUAAUAAAACUGUGGUUGGAAUGUAACCUUCAAGGAUUAACAGUUGGUGACAUUUGGCUGUGUAAAAUAGUGUCUUAAAAAUAAAUAAUACUCUACGUCUCCACUCUAAAGCACUGUAAGUUUGUGAACGCUAUGGUUUUUAUUGUUAUUGCUCAACCAGGAAUUAAAAGGUAAGGGAAAUUCCAUUGGUCACGGGAAGAGAAUUAGAAUUAGGUGGAAGAGAAAGGAAUUACCCCAAACCUGACUGAUCUGUGUCCUGGAUGGUAAUUACUUUACAGCCUUCGAUCUCUGAUGCCUGAAGACCUGUGCUUUUCAUGCAAAA
rnacentral:sRNA from 1 species